UACGGAGGGUGCAAGCGUUGCUCGGAAUCACUGGGCGUAAAGCGCCCGCAGGCGGUCUGACAAGUCGGAUGUGAAAGCCCUGGGCUCAACUCAGGAACUGCAUUCGAAACUGGCAGACUCGAGUACGGGAGAGGGGGGUGGAAUUCCUGGUGUAGGGGUGAAAUUCGUUGAUAUCAGGAGGAACACCGGUGGCGAAGGCGGUUCUCUGGGCCUUACCUGACGCUGAGGAGCGAAAGCGUGGGGAGCAAACAGG
rnacentral:rRNA from 1 species